AUGGAGAAUCGUUGCCGCCCGCUACUGUUCUACUCCAGCCAAGUCGCAGGAAUGGCUGCACUGCCGUUGAAAGGUCCGGCGACAGUCGUCGACGUGACCGUAGACGCCGAUGCCCUGAACUGCGGCGUCUGCUGCCUCCCGCUCAAGUCGCCUAUCUUCCAGUGUAAAGUCGGGCACGUGAUAUGCUCGCCGUGCAGAGACAAUCUGGCGGCGGAGGGGAGGUGCCACGUGUGCCAAGAUCCGAUUUCCGGCGGCUACCAACGGAGCUAUGACAUGGAGAAACUGGUGGAGUCUAUCCGGGUGCCUUGCUCCAACGCCGCCUACGGCUGCUCCGCCAGGCCGACCUACAGUCAACAGCACGAGCAUGUCCGGUCGUGCCAACACCUGCCGUGCCACUGCCCGGCGCACACGUGCGGCUUCGUCGGAUCCACGUCGGUGCUCCUGGACCACUUCGCCGUUGUGCACAGGUGGCCAUGCACGACCGAGCUUCGGACCUGGAAGUGCGUCGACGUCCAACUCCGUGACGGCUUCAACGCCGCCUAUGUUCGUGUUGGCGGCAUGCAGUACCUGUUCCUGCUAAACGUGGCGCGGCAACCAUUUGGCCGCUCAAUCUCCGUGUUCUGCCUACAUCCUCGGGCACCCGUCGAGGAGUCGUCGCCAAUGCCCGUGGGAUUCGAGGUCAGGCUCAAAUACUCUCGCAACGACUACGGCCACGGUGACAUGUGCCGCGGCCAUAGCCAGGAAACUAAGUUCAAAGUAGCGUGCACUGAUCUCUCCGAUGGGCUUCCGAAUUCCGAGGGCUCUUUCGAGAUCGUUCUGCCCAAGUGCGUUCAUCCACUUGACAUGGAUACUAUCACUGCCAAUUUCGACGUGCUCAAUGUUACCACAAGUGGAUGA
rnacentral:rRNA from 1 species